ACAAACGUUCCCUAAGCAUCUACUGCUAUUUGGAAAUUACAUAAUUUCCCAUCACAGGAUCAAGGCAAGCAGCAGUCACUGCCACUGGGGGUGCCAUUUCGGGUGCUGCUGACGUAACGAUCGUCCUCUUACCGUUGUUUUGCUGUCCAGUUUCCUCCAAUACUCGUUAUAGUUGGCACAUAACUUGGCGUGUCAGUAGACAAUUCGCUGUACCCGUUCAAGUAGACAAAGCAGGUCAAUCGUCGGACACAAUUUUACUGGAGCCUGACCUUUUGAGACGCUGCGGGCAAAACAAUUAUUCUUACCACCGAGAUAAAGACCAUUUCAAGUUGGAUAUUAGCGCUUUCAAACCUCAAUCCACUUGAGCCACAGACACCAAGUGUCAUGUUGGAAAACUUGCGCACAACAUUGCACAGGUCUUAUUUUCACAAUUGACACAUUUUCUUUCCAAAGCUAAUAAACAUGUGGAAAUGUGAGCAGCAUUUUGUAUUCCUAGUUGAAUUAGUUAGGGAGCGUAAACAAAAGGACACUUUUUUACAUUCAAAUUUCGAUUGCUACUUGGUCAUGUGACCUACUGACUUCAAACAAGGUUCCGAAUGUCCACUGACUACCCUUAUUGCACACCCUUUAGUUUGUCCAUUUAUCUCACAUGAUUUUACUAACUUUUCAAUUUCAGAAUGUCCAUGGACUGGCGGAGAUGAGCACCGCGAGGUAUCCAGUGCGGUAAUGUGAACGAUGCCGUAGAACCUGGCGGGAGCCCUGGGGAGAGUUCUCUUUUCUUUGUGAAGGGCAGGGCACCCUGGAAUGGGUUCGCCCCGAGAGAGAGGCCCUGGAAAUCAUAGCGGUUUCGGCAUCGUCCGGUGAGGCCCUUAAAUCCGGGGGGAGUGUGUGUAAAUCUCAUGCCGGGCCAUACCCAUAUCCGCAGCAGGUCUCCCAAGGUGAACAGCCUCUGGCACAUAACAAUGUAGAGACCAAGUGAACCAGAAAGUGAAAGACAACAUCCCUUCAAUUGCAUCAGCCAUCAUAAGAUCCAUCAUGGAGGUGUAUCACACUGUGGAAACAGAGGAGCUGAUGACAUGCCUCCAGAUCCAGCUCUACCACCCCCAGCAGGCUUCCAGGGCUCGUUACCGCAUGUUGCCUCUGGACACAAGCACCAGGCUGAGGACCCAGUGAGGCAGUCGUGCAUUGAGUUUGUCAUAGAUUAGUUUUACUACAAUAACAGCCAUAUUGUUUUGAUUAUAUUGUAUUAUUUUCUCUUUAACUAGAAGCAGUUUUCUUGAAAAAUGCUGAUGUUAAACAUUCUGAAAGCUUAAAUCAAAAUGUUGACUGUAUGUGGCGCCAAGCUAUCAGUACCUCAAAUGUUUUUAUAUUCUACCUUAUAACCCACUCCUCAAGUAUUAUUCAGAAUGUUACGUUAUUUUAUAAAAUGUGAAACUAAA